GACGAACGCUGGCGGCGUGCUUAACACAUGCAAGUCGAGCGAUGAAGUUCCUUCGGGAAUGGAUUAGCGGCGGACGGGUGAGUAACACGUGGGUAACCUGCCUCAUAGAGGGGAAUAGCCUUUCGAAAGGAAGAUUAAUACCGCAUAAGAUUGUAGUACCGCAUGGUGCAGCAAUUAAAGGAGUAAUCCGCUAUGAGAUGGACCCGCGUCGCAUUAGCUAGUUGGUGAGGUAACGGCUCACCAAGGAGACGAUGCGUAGCCGACCUGAGAGGGUGAUCGGCCACAUUGGGACUGAGACACGGCCCAGACUCCUACGGGAGGCAGCAGUGGGGAAUAUUGCACAAUGGGGGAAACCCUGAUGCAGCAACGCCGCGUGAGUGAUGACGGUCUUCGGAUUGUAAAGCUCUGUCUUCAGGGACGAUAAUGACGGUACCUGAGGAGGAAGCCACGGCUAACUACGUGCCAGCCGCCGCAGUAA
rnacentral:rRNA from 1 species